rnacentral:rRNA from 1 species
AGUGAACGCUGGCGGCAGGCCUAACACAUGCAAGUCGAACGGCAGCACAGUAAGAGCUUGCUCUUACGGGUGGCGAGUGGCGGACGGGUGAGGAAUACAUCGGAAUCUACUUUUUCGUGGGGGAUAACGUAGGGAAACUUACGCUAAUACCGCAUACGACCUACGGGUGAAAGCAGGGGAUCUUCGGACCUUGCGCGAUUGAAUGAGCCGAUGUCGGAUUAGCUAGUUGGCGGGGUAAAGGCCCACCAAGGCGACGAUCCGUAGCUGGUCUGAGAGGGUGAUCAGCCACACUGGAACUGAGACACGGUCCAGACUCCUACGGGAGGCAGCAGUAGGGAAUAUUGGACAAUGGGCGCAAGCCUGACCCAGCCAUACCGCGUGGGUGAAGAAGGCCUUCGGGUUGUAAAGCCCUUUUGUUGGGGAAGAAAAGCAGCAGGUUAAUACCCGGCUGUUCUGACGGUACCCAAAGAAUAAGCACCGGCUAACUUCGUG